rnacentral:tRNA from 1 species
GGGCCUUUAGCUCAGUUGGUUAGAGCAUCCGACUCAUAAUCGGCAGGUCGUAGGUUCGAGCCCUGCAAGGCCCACCA